rnacentral:sRNA from 1 species
AUUUAAUUUAAUUAGAAAAACGAAAUACAUUAUUAAUUUCCAAAAGAGUAACCUAUUAAAAUCAACAAAUUAGAUUUGAUAUCUAAAUUAUCAUAUUAAUUUUUU